rnacentral:lncRNA from 1 species
GCCAAGCACCUAAAGAGCAAAAGAAAGGCUAGUUCAGAUGCUUAUUUAAAAUAAAUUAACCAAGGAACAAUUAAAAGCCUUGAAUAAGCAAUUAGCCCAACUAGCAAAGACAUAAAUCCUACCUUGAUCAAAACAGUUAAUUGAAAUUAUUAGCCUUUGGAGGGGAAUUACUCUUUUUGAAACUAGUGAAUGUGUCAUUAGGGUGAUGAAGAGCUACAAGGAAAAGGUCAAUAAGCACUUAUUCAGAAAAAAGAGGGCCAAACUCUUUAUUCAAAGCCACGGUAAUUAAACCAACAAUGUAUUUAGCCAACACGGGCAUCCUUGAACUAUUAUGUUGAAUAGAAUAGGGUACACUUUAAGUUACUGUGGAGCAGAUAGGUUAUCCACCAAACCCAUCCAGGGAAAAGAGGAAAAUGGAAGCACUGUAUGUAAACCAAAGAGUCUGCUAUGGUCACCCAAAUUCAGUCCUUGGAAUGAGCAUGAAUUAGAAAUCUCUAGAUGCUCUCAAAUGUGGUCUAUUUAGACAUCACUGAAAGACAUCCUUCCUUUCAUGUUCAUUUUAGAAUAGAUGUUUAAUAAGAUGUAGUCAUUUUAGUUGUAUUAUUUCAGAUAUUCCAAUAAUUUAGACCAGUAGUCCUCAAACAGAAGCAAAUUCGUUUCCAGAGGACAAUGCCUCCAGACAUUUUUAUUUGUCACUCUGGGGGGAGGUGGGGAGUGCCACAGCAGGGAGUGGUUGCUCCUGGAAUUUAGUAGGUAGAAGUCAAGUACACUACUAAAUAUCCUGCAAUGUACGGGGCAUCCCCACAAUAAAAAAUUAUCUAACCCAAAAUGUCAAUAGUGCCACUGCUGAAAGACUUUGAUUCAAACAAGCUCUAUUCUGAAGUUUGAUUUUGCUCCACCUAUAAAGAGAAAGGCUUUCUUGCCAAUUUAAGGCACUAACAUGAUAAAUGAAAAUAUUACUUUGAGUAACAAAAAUUAUAGUACUGGAAAAACUUUCUUGCAUGUCAAUAUUGAGUGUAACAAUGACAAUGCUUUUGUCUUUUCCUUAAAGCCAAUGUGUCAGGAUUUUUAAUUGGAGAUCUUUUAUUACUAGUUUUUCAAAGUAUUAACACUGUAUAUCCAUUCAAAUUUUCCAUACUUUAUAAACACUUUUACUUAUUAAGACUGAAUUUCUAUAAAUAAAUCCUAGGGAUGUAAUACACAGCAUAGAACAUGGUGACUAGAGUUAACAAGACUGUGUUAUAUAUUUGAAAGUUACUAAGAGUGUAGAUCAUAAAAGUUCUCAUCACAAGAAAAAAAAUUUGUAACUAUUUGAGGUGAUGGAUGUAGACUAAACUUACUGUGGUAAUCAUUUUGCAAUAUAUACAUAUAUCAAAUCAUUAUGUUGAAUACCUAAAUCUAAUACAAUGUUAUAUGUCAGUUAUAUCUCAAUAAAUAGACUGGGUUAUAUUAUAGCACUGAGCAAAUUGUUUGAAAUUAUUGAGUUUUUCCCUUAUUGAAAUAUAUUUUAUAUAUAUAUAUAAUUAUCCUAAAAUAAACUAAUGAAUUCCUUUUCUAUUUUUAUCAAAUUUCUCUUUAAUGAGAAUUCAACAAAAAAAAAUAGAUGACAUCAUUUUUAUGUUUCUUUAUCUACUUUAUCUACCUAACUAAUCAUCUAGGGUUUAAAAAAAAAAAAAUAGCAAAACACUACUUGGUCUCUUUGUCCAAAGAGACAGGAGUUAAUUUUUGGCUCGUGUUUAACUCUACAUUUCUGUUCCCAAGCAUUCAACAUUUAUUACCUGGGAGACUUCUUUGUCAACAGAGCACAUAUUAAACCAGUUACUGGAAGUAUGUUUAGCUUAUAUAUGUUAAUUUACAUUUGACAAACUUGCCUCUCUGGUGCCGCUGGGACACUAGCUAAACGUGUAGCUUGAUUGUAUUUAUCCAAACUCCAUAAACAGAAAAUCCAAACCCCCACACAGGGCAUAAAAACAUGAAUUAUAUGAUCCAGUAAGAGUUCCUGAGGGAAAUGGCAGCUCCCAAGAAAAAAAUUAUUCCAGAGUAAGUCUCAAUCUUUGAUGAGUCAUGUAUUUUUCACCUGGUAUUUCUCCAGGGGGGGGUGAAGAAGCACCCUUUGAAUGAACAUAGUAAGGAAAAAUAGAGGUAAAUAUAAUAGUCUUUCCUUCUAUUCUUGAGUAUUUUAAAUUACAUUUGAUGGCUGAAACAAAAAUUAUAAUCCUGUCUGAUAUGGUUCUAUUCAAGACAGUUUUAUUAUUUUUAUUUAUCUUUAUUAUAAAUAGAGAAAAGAAUAGAGAAAUAUAUAAAGGGAGGUAAGAUUUUAUACCUCAUGCAAAACCGGCAAAAUGAUGACACAAGCAGACUGGGAUAAGAUGUGUGUGUGUGUGUGUAUAUAUGUGUGUGUGACAUGAUACCUAAAGCAGCUACUAAAAACACUCUGAAGAGAGAAACAGUCAAAAACACUAUAGGGAAAUCAAAAUGAAAUUCUACAAAAUGUUCAAAUAAACCACAGGAAGACAAGAAAAAGAAAACAGAAUUUUUUUUUUAUUUUAAACAUACAGGACAAACAAAAAGCAAAAAAUAAAAUGGCAGAUGUAAACCUUAUCAUAACAAUAAUUACAUUAAAUGCAAACAGUAUGAUUGAAUGUAAAAAGAUGGAAAAAGAUAUAUCAUGCAAGCAUUAAUCAAAAGAAAGAUGCAGUGGCUAUUUUGAUACCAGAUAAAGUCAACUUCAGAGCAAAGAAAAUUACCAAAGAGACAUUAUCCAAGGAGUUCCUGUCAUGGCUCAGCAGAAACGAAUUUGACUAGUAUCCAUGAGGAUUUGGGUUCAAUCCCUGGCCUCACUCAGUGGGUUAAGGAUCCAGCAUUGCCCUGAGCUGUGGUGUAGGUCGCAGACAUGGCUCGGAUCCUGCAUUGCUGUGGCUGUGGUGUAGGCCAGCAGCUGCAGCUCCUAUUCAACCCCUAGCCUUGGAACUUCCACAUGCUGUGGGGGGUGUGGCCCUAAAAAGCAAAAAAAAAAA